rfam:Asian citrus Psyllid, Diaphorina citri - Florida Strain, whole genome shotgun sequence.
GCCUAGUUGGCUUGGUUAGUAGAGUGUGUGCCUUGUAAGCGCUAGGCCGCGGGUUCAAUUCCCGCCCGGGGUG